rnacentral:rRNA from 1 species
UACGUAGGGGGCAAGCGUUGUCCGGAAUUAUUGGGCGUAAAGAGCGCGUAGGCGGUCCGAUAAGUCGGCUGUGAAAGUCAAGGGCUCAACCCUUGAAAGCCGGCCGAUACUGUCGGACUAGAGUCCGGAAGAGGCGAGUGGAAUUCCCGGUGUAGCGGUGAAAUGCGCAGAUAUCGGGAGGAACACCUGUGGCGAAAGCGGCGCACUGGACCAUAACUGACGCUGAGGCGCGAAAGCUAGGGGAGCAAACAGG